rnacentral:rRNA from 1 species
AUUGAACGCUGGCGGAAUGCUUUACACAUGCAAGUCGAACGGCAGCACGGACUUCGGUCUGGUGGCGAGUGGCGAACGGGUGAGUAAUAUAUCGGAACGUAUCCAAUAAUGGGGGAUAACUAAUCGAAAGGUUGGCUAAUACCGCAUACGCCCUACGGGGGAAAGCUAGGGAUCUUCGGACCUGGCGUUAAUGGAGCGGCCGAUAUCUGAUUAGCUAGUUGGUGGGGUAAAGGCCCACCAAGGCGACGAUCAGUAGCUGGUCUGAGAGGACGACCAGCCACACUGGAACUGAGACACGGUCCAGACUCCUACGGGAGGCAG